CCCUUAGAUGUUCUGGGCCGCACGCGCGCUACACUGAUGCAUUCAACGAGUUUCUUCCUGGUCCGAGAGGAAUGGGUAACCUUUUGAAAGUGCAUCGUGAUAGGGAUAGACUAUUGCAAUUAUUGGUCUUCAACGAGGAAUUCCUAGUAGACGUAGUUCAUCAGACUGCAUCGAUUACGUCCCUGCCCUUUGUACACACCGCCCGUCGUUCCUACCGAUUGAAUGCUCAGGUGAGCCAUUCGGACCUUCAUCAUGCCGGUUUCCGGUUUUGAUGAGGGAAAGUCUUGCGAACCUUAUCAUUUAGAGGAAGGAGAAGUCGUAACA
rnacentral:rRNA from 1 species